rnacentral:rRNA from 1 species
UACAGAGACUGCAAGCGUUAUUCGGAUUCACUGGGCGUAAAGGGUGCGCAGGCGGCCAAGUGUGUUAGGCGUGAAAGCCCGGGGCUUAACCCCGGAAUUGCACCUAAAACUACAUGGCUAGAGCAUUGGAGAGGGUAGCGGAAUUCACGGUGCAGCAGUGAAAUGCGUAGAUAUCGUGAGGAACACCAGAGGCGAAGGCGGCUACCUGGACAAUUGCUGACGCUCAGGCACGAAAGCGUGGGGAGCAAAAGGG